rnacentral:rRNA from 1 species
CACGUAGGGGGCGAGCGUUGUCCGGAUUUAUUGGGCGUAAAGAGCUCGUAGGCGGCUCGGUAAGUCAGGUGUGAAACCUCCAGGCUCAACCUGGAGACGCCACCUGAUACUGCCGUGGCUAGAGUCCGGUAGAGGAGCGUAGAAUUCCUGGUGUAGCGGUGAAAUGCGCAGAUAUCAGGAGGAAUACCAGCGGCGAAGGCGGCGCUCUGGGCCGGUACUGACGCUGAGGAGCGAAAGCGUGGGGAGCGAUCCGG